ACUUGCAGCCAUAUCACCCUGCAGCCCAAGACUAGUUGCCCACUGAAGCUAAGCAGGGUUGAGCCUGGUCAGUACCUGGAUGGGAUACCUCCUGGGAAAAAACUAGGUUGCUGCUGGAA
rnacentral:rRNA from 1 species